CAAUAGCGUAUAUUAAAGUUGUUGCGGUAAAAAAGCUCGUAGUUGGAUUUCUACCGAAGAUAGCCGGUCGGGUCUUCGACCUUGUAUCUGGUUUUGUCUUUGGUAUCCUCAUAGGGAACGUUUCUGCGCUUUAUUGCGUGGUGCGGUAUCUAUGACUCUUACUUUGAGGAAAUUAGAGUGUUCACGGCAGGCAAACGCCUUGAAUAUAUUAGCAUGGAAUAAUAACAUAGGAUCUUCGUCCUAUUUUGUUGGUUUCUAGGGCUAAGAUAAUGAUUAAUAGGGAUAAUUGGGGGCAUCUGUAUCAACGCGUCAGAGGUGGAAUUCUUGGAUUGCGUUGCGACAAACUACUGCGAAAGCAUUUGCCAAGGAUGUUUUCAUUGA
rnacentral:rRNA from 1 species